rnacentral:rRNA from 1 species
UACGUAGGGUGCAAGCGUUGUCCGGAAUUAUUGGGCGUAAAGAGCUUGUAGGCGGUUUGUCGCGUCUGCCGUGAAAAUCCGGGGCUCAACCCCGGACUUGCGGUGGGUACGGGCAGACUAGAGUGUGGUAGGGGAGACUGGAAUUCCCGGUGUAGCGGUGAAAUGCGCAGAUAUCAGGAGGAACACCGAUGGCGAAGGCAGGUCUCUGGGCCACUACUGACGCUGAGAAGCGAAAGCGUGGGGAGCGAACAGG